AUACUUAUCAUGGCAGGGGAGAUACCAUGGCUAAGAAAGUGAUUUUCACAGGGUCAGGCUCCUCCAUUGCACUUGGGAUUGCUGGCCCUGCAAUUCCCUCAAAUGGCGGAAACCCACUGCAUUGUGAUGGGUGGUGGGCUAUGUGCGUGCUUUCCCCUG
ensembl:snRNA U1 U1 spliceosomal RNA